UGUAUGAUAUUCCAUCAUGUACGCAGAGUCUACCGUGAUUACAAGUUGUUUGGUUUACUUUAUUUUACAUGUUAUAUGUGUAGGCUGUGCGUAGCCACGAUUUAGCUCGUAUUCAGACCCGGCUAUUGUAGCCCACUUUUUGUCAAAACUGAUUAAUUGUAUUUUUUUGCCAGGCAGUGCAUGAAAUGGUUAAUAUUCAAUCAUGUUCGCAUUGGUAUGAUAUCAAGGUUCAAUACGUCAUUUCACGGCACGGUCGAUCACGAUUUAGCUCCGAAUUGCUAUUGAAACACUACUGAGACAUGUCUACUGGGACUAAUGCCAUUGCGUGACUAGAUCACUUUAGCCAAAUCUAACGAUAAACAUUUCCGCCAUUUUAUUUUACACGAGGCAGCUGUCGGAGAGCAACGGGUGAGCAACAGUCUGAGUGAAAACCUUCACAUUUCUACUUCGAUCUUAAGAAAGCCAUACAGGUUUGGAACCAAGUGAAAGUGGUGACCAUAGACCUGCAUUAUAUGACUGACAGACAAGAAUAGUUUGACCUAAAAAAUUGAAACCACUGCGGAAACAAAGACACCUACAUCUUGGAUGUCCUUAAGGUAAGCUAAAACAUACCAAAAUUUAAUUUCAAAGUGAACUAUCCCUUUAAACUUGAGGGAAGAACUAAAGUAGAAAUGAAAAUAAAAUCUGUUUUCACCUUCAUUAGAAUGAUAAUUUAAAAAAAUACUGUAUUUCAGUUUCAAAACACAUUAUGGUAGUAGUCAGACAUGUCUUGGGAGAACAGUGUUACAUAAUCAAUUAUAAUGUUAAUUUUAUUUCCAUAUUCAGAAGUUAUGGAUCCCAAAUAUCUAAGAGAAUGGCGUCGCUUGAGAGAUCGAGUUAAUGCUCUCGCUGAAAAUUAAUAG